GAUGAUCACCUUUUGACCUGGAAGUAAGAUCAAAAUCAAAACUAUUCAGCUGUUGUUGCUGACACUUUUCCGUGCUGACACCACGCUGACACCGCUUGCAGACGACAUAUCGAGAUAUUCGAGAUACAGAAUUUGAUCUUCCCCAACAGGAAUCACUCUUUUCCGCGGGUGCGGAUGCAGACCGGAUGUCUAUGCGUUAUUUGCACGCAAGAAGACAUUUUCAUCAAUUAUCAAUUAAUAUCACAUGCAGGAAGCAAGAAGAUCAAAUGCAAUCAAAAUCAACAAUAAUUGUUCGACAAGCCCCGACCUAGCCGUCAGAGAUUC
rnacentral:misc_RNA from 1 species